GUCCAUGCAAGGCCUGCGCUAUCUGAGUGCUGGCCCUUCUGUAUUCCAUGAUGGGCCGUGGAGAUAAAAGAUCUCCUCACAGGCCCAUUUGCAGUGUAAUGCAGCCUCCGGCGGAAGAGGGAGACACACUCUCUACAGCACCUAGACACACAUACAUUACAUUACACCACAAACACAACAUGACUGAAACCAACUUAUUAACACAAUACCAC